ACCUUAUAAAUUAGGAGUGAGGCACUGAAGCCUACCAAAAGGGGGUUUAUGUUUGAUUUUGUGAAAGGAAUUCAGACUACAUCGACUUCAUCUCUCUCUCACUUCCUCUCUCCUAUACAAACCAUAAUCUUCCUUUCCUCGGCGCUCUCCCAUGUCUCUCGCCGUGGAGCCCACAAACCAAGCAUGUAGUGAAGGUCACAAGCCUCAGACACACCGGAUGCGUACUGGAGGUACAGCGACGGCUGGCAACCGUGCCUUCCGCGAUGAACAUAGCCGUCGGAUACCGUCCUUGCUCCGAUUGCGGCUGGGUUGGGAAGGUAAUUCUUGAUCCAGUUCGGAAAUCUAUGCCGAGCUACAUUUCCGAACCCAAAACCAUCUGAGACUCCAAGAAUCGCAUCGUUCAGAGACUUGAUCCAGUUCCCAGAUCCACAAGAAGCAAAGGGUUUAGGUGCUCUGAAAAUGCCCACCUUGAUUUUUUAACACCAAGUGGAGAUAGCAACCCAGGCGUUCCAACUUGCCCAUGAACUUCAAUCUUUUCAGUUUUUGGAGCCAGGAAAUGGUUUUUAUCGAAAGUCUUUCCAAGUGGCUGUUAAGGUACCGCAAUUGCACUUGGAUUUACACAAGCAUGGUUUAGGUCAACUGGAGCCAAACCUUCUCCUUUAAUAGGUGGAAAGGUCACAUACUUCAAAUGUGGAGUGUCGCUUGGGGUCGGCCUGGAACAUCAAGUGGCAGAUGGGUGUUCAGGUCUCCACUUUGUAUAUACAUGUUCUGAUAUCACUCGCGGACUUGACCUUACAAUCCCACCAUCAUCGACAGGACAUUACUUCGUGCUUGAGACCCACCUCAGCCAACAUUCGACCCGGUUGGAUACCAGCUUGAUCCGCCCUUAAAAAUUCCUCCACCCUGCACAAAAGAUGGUGAUGCUGAGAGUACGACAAUCUCCAUUUUUAGAUUGACGCGGGAGUAGCUUAGCAUCUUGAAAGCCAAGUCUAAGGAAGAAGGGAACACAAUCAACUAUAGCACGUAUGAGAUGUUGGCAGGCCAUGUUUGGAGAUGUGCAUCCAAGGUAAGAAAUCUUCCCGUUGAUCAAGUGACCAAACCGCAUAUUGUGGUUGAUGGACGGUCCAAACUGCAACCCCCACUCCACUUGGUUUUUUUGACAAUGUGAUUUUCGUAGGAGCACCAUUAGCUACAUGUUGUGGUGCGCAUGAACAACGAUUACCUUAGGUCAGUUCUUGACUAUCUUGAGGUUCAACUUGAUCUGUUUGGCCCUUGUUUGUAGAGCUCAUACUUUUCGGUGCAUGAAACUUGGGAUAAUUAGUUACUUACUAGAUUGCAACUUCAUCAACUUCAUUGAAGUCUUGCACAGACCACAUCGUCAGCUCACAAUUCAGAAUUAUACCCAAAUUUUGCUUCGUUGCCUUGCAAAUGAUCAUAGGCUUUGCAUUAGCGGAAUACUUCAUAUACACAACUGGUUGGUCGUCAAACUCAAACUCGAUCACCAUGUCAUUCUUGUCAUCCACCCAUUAGGUUCUGGCCUCCUCGUACAUCGAAUGAGCAAAAUCUCCAGCAAAAGAAACCCGAAAUAGUUGAUAGUCUUUUCCUACCAUGUUAGGACAACAUGUAGGAAAAGAUUAUAAACUAUUUUAGGUUUCUUUUGCUGGAUAUUUUGCUCAUUCGGUGUACGAGGAUGCCAUAACCCAAUGGGAAGAUGAUAGGAAUCACAUGGUGAUCGAGUUUGAGUUUGACGACCAACCAAUUGUGCAUAUGAAGUAUUCCGUUGAUGCAAGGCCUAUGAUCAUUUACUAGGUAAUGAAGCAAAAGUUAGGUAUAAUUCUGAAUUGUGAGCUGGCGAUGUGGUCCGUAUAGGACUUAAAUGAAGUUGAUGAAGCUGCGAUCUAGUAAGUAAUGAUUUUGGUUGAGAUUGUUGCAGAUUAUCUUGACAUAGUGGUAGUGGUAUUUCCUUCAAGCUUUGUAAUUUUUGAAUGCUAUUCUCUGUCUCUCUCACACACUUAUUCUACAGAAGAUAUAUCAUAGAACGUAAGAGAAAAUAGCACAAUGACCAUAUGCAGUCUUGAGAUUAAUGCAAUUUCAAUAAGAACCACCAUGAUGAUAUUUGUAAAAUGUUUUGUUGCUCAAAUCAUUUCCUUACUGAUGCGCA